rnacentral:misc_RNA from 1 species
GUAGGUGAACCUGCGGAAGGAUCAUUAAUGAAACUUCAAAGUCGGCCUGUUCUGUGCUGGUGGAAACACAUGUGCACGUCUGGUCGCAAAUCCACACACCUGUGCAUCUUUGACUCGAGGUUGUAACGACCAAGAGUACUUUUACACACUCUGAAUGUAACGGAACGUCUAUGUGCUAUAAUGUACAAAUAAACAACUUUCAACAACGGAUCUCUUGGCUCUC